GAUGAACGCUGGCGGCGUGCCUAAUACAUGCAAGUCGAGCGAACGGACGAGACGCUUGCUUCUCUGAUGUUAGCGGCGGACGGGUGAGUAACACGUGGAUAACCUACCUAUAAGACUUGGAUAACUUCGGGAAACCGGAGCUAAUACCGGAUAAUAUUUUUAACCUCAUGGUUCAAAAGUGAAAUACGUUCUUGCUGUCACUUAUAGAUGGAUCCGCGCUGCAUUAGCUAGUUGGUAAGGUAACGGCUUACCAAGGCAACGAUGCAUAGCCGACCUGAGAGGGUGAUCGGCCACACUGGAACUGAGACACGGUCCAGACUCCUACGGGAGGCAGAAGUAGGGAAUCUUCCGCAAUGGGCGAAAGCCUGACGGAGCAACGCCGCGUGAGUGAUGAAGGGCUGCGGAUCGUAAAACUCUGUUAUUAGGGAAGAACAUAUGUGUAAGUAACUGUGCACAUCUUGACGGUACCUAAUCAGAAAGCCACGGCUAACUACGUG
rnacentral:rRNA from 1 species